GUGAACUUUGUCAAGCUACUGUUAUUAUGAAGAAUAGAACAGAUGAACUGGAAGAGCAAAAUACAUCACUGAGAAAUCUGCUUGAUUCUGAGAUGGAACAUUCUUCCAUACUCAGGCUAGAAAUUGAUAACCUGAGAAGGAAAGUGGCAGAACA